rnacentral:rRNA from 1 species
GCUUAAAAAUAAAAUUUGUUCUUAAAAUAAAUUCAUUUAAAAAAAUAAGAAUAAAAAAUUAAACAAUUUAAUUUAAUUUAAUAUUAUAAUAAUUUGGUUAAUAAUAGUGCCAGAAUCCUCGGUAAAACUUUAAAAUUUGUAAUAAAAACUUUAAUUUCAUACUAAAUAAAUUAAAAAUAAUUAAAAAAAGAAAUGUAGUAUAAUAGAUAUUAUUAAAUUUAAUAUUUAGUUAAAGCAAAUAGUUUCUAUGACUCGGAUUAGAUACCCGACUAAUACUAAUUAAAUUUAUUAAAGAAGUUAUUUAAAAUUAAAACCUAAUUAAGUUGGCAAAACUUAAAAUAUUUGGGAAUUUUGAGAAUAAACGAUAAUCCACGUUAUUUUCAUUUUAUUUAUUUCUAGUAUAGCCGAAUAAGAAUAAUUAAAUUUUUUAAAAAAAUUAUUUUAAUUUCAGGUCUUUAUAAGAUAAAAAUGAAUUUCUUGAAGUUUAUUUUUUAAGACUAUAAAAUAAGAACUAAUCUUCUUAAAAAUAAAACUAAAAAGUAAAUUUUUUAAGUAAAAAUAGAUUGAAUAUUAAUAUUAAGUUGGUACAAAUUACCCGUCACCUGAAUUUUAUAGUUGAGUAAGUCGUAGUAUAGUAAGUUUAUUGGAAGAUGAACUUUAUUCA